GCGACCGGGGGCUGCCUGGGCAAGGGCGGGGCGAGAGGGCAGAACGCCUGCUCUCGGACAGGGUGUUCUUAAAAUACACCGGAAAGAACGGAGGUAAAAAUACUGGAGUGUUUCCUCCACACUGGAAAGAGGGCAGCGCUGUGAACAAUGGAGCCAUCAAAAAGGCCUUCUCCCAGCCUCCUCACCAACCACGGACAUUCCUGGCCCAACAAGACCUCCUGGCCAGGUUUUGAGCCCUGCUUCCCAGAUCUGGGGACCCUUCACCUGCCUCUACUACUGCAAAUGAUUGGAUAUUCGUCUGACUUGGCUCUUCCCUAAUGUGUGGAACUAAUUUUGUUCACUCUGUUUCAUGCUGGACCUGGCCUGAAAAUGGGCCCUUAUAUUGUCUUUGCACUUUCCAACUUGCCAAGUUUCUGAAAGAAGGACCAAAGUAAUGCCAAGAACUCCCAGAUGAAGAGGACCUUCCUUAGACCUAUAACAGAUUCACUACUUGACUUCAGAGGGAAGUUUCAGCUAAUUCUCAGGAAAAGGUCAAAACAGGCCUGUGACUGUCCCUUGAAUACUGAAGGUAUAAACAAGCUUCUGGCUCCUCCAGGUCAAGCAGAGGAACACUUUUAUUAGAA
rnacentral:lncRNA from 1 species